UCGACGGCCCCUACCUUGGAGGCGGGGGCGUCCAUGACUUCGCCGCGCGGUUCAACGGCCACGCCGACAGCUGCCUUGUCCCCAGCGCCGGCGCCGUUGUCGAGAUGGACUUUGCUUGCGGCAUCGGCGCUGCCAAGCCGCCGCCGCCGUCGUCGUACGGCUCCUACACCGCCGCCGCGGCCACCAACUCCCUCGGGCACAGCGUCAGUUGCCCUGCCUUCUUCACACAUCUCCUUCUCCAUGCUUUCGCGUAAAUCAUCGAGAUUUGGAGAUGGCCGACACUUUUGAGUUGAUAUGUCUUUCCAGGG
rnacentral:lncRNA from 1 species